UGAUUAUAAUAAUUACCCCUUCCAUCCAUCAAGUAUUCAAGUCUAUAAAUAGCAGUAUGUGUAUUUAGUCUAGAACUCGUGCAACACACUAGCUAAUACACAGUCUUCAACUCUAUAGUGAUCGAUCUUUGCAUAAUUACAUAGCCGAGGUAGAAAAAAUGGCAUCGGUCCAGUGUGAGAGGAAGAAGUCGCAACUGAGCUGCGAGCAGAACGCAACAUCAGAUGCGUUGUGCGCAAGGUGGCCAUAUGCGCAGUUUGAAAAUGGUGUGUUUGGUGCCUAAGUAGCCUGGGUUGUAGUCUAUGAAUCAUCAAUUCAACAACCUAUAAUAAAUAGUAUUUAAUAAAAAUGUUCGAUUUCUCUUUUGAUUUUGAGCAUGUCUAAUGCAUCUAUUAUUGUAAGAAAAUGCAAGCUAGCUUGUACCUAAGUUAACUUGCAUGUUGUUGAUUUCUACGUUUAUAUAAUUAACAGUUAAAUUACGGAUGUCA